UACGAAGGGGGCUAGCGUUGUUCGGAAUCACUGGGCGUAAAGCGCACGCAGGCGGAUUGAUGAGUCAGGGGUGAAAUCCCGGAGCUCAACUUCGGAAUUGCCUUUGAUACUGUUAAUCUCGAGUCCGGGAGAGGUGAGUGGAAUUCCUAGUGUAGAGGUGAAAUUCGUAGAUAUUAGGAAGAACACCAGUGGCGAAGGCGGCUCACUGGCCCGGUACUGACGCUCAUGUGCGAAAGCGUGGGGAGCAAACAGG
rnacentral:rRNA from 1 species